rnacentral:misc_RNA from 1 species
UCCGAGUUGACCCCGGCAGUCUCGUGCGAGUCCCCGCCAUACGCGCUGGCAACACAGGACAAGGGUUGCGCUCGUUGCGGGACUUAACCCAACAUCUCACGACACGAGCUGACGACAGCCAUGCACCACCUGUGAACCGGCCCCAAAGGGGAAACCACAUUUCUGCGGCGAUCCGGCCCAUGUCAAGCCUUGGUAAGGUUCUUCGCGUUGCAUCGAAUUAAUCCACAUGCUCCACCGCUUGUGCGGGCCCCCGUCAAUUCCUUUGAGUUUCAGCCUUGCGGCCGUACUCCCCAGGCGGGGCACUUCAUGCGUUAGCGCCGGUACCCUGAGGGUCGCUCCCCAAAGCACCUAGUGCCCAUCGUUUACGGCGUGGACUAC